rnacentral:rRNA from 1 species
GGAGGAAGCAGGGGAUCGCAAGACCUUGCGCUUUUGGAGCGGCCGAUGUCUGAUUAGCUUGUUGGUAAGGUAAAAGCUUACCAAGGCUUCGAUCAGUAGCUGGUCUGAGAGGACGACCAGCCACACUGGGACUGAGACACGGCCCAGACUCCUACGGGAGGCAGCAGUGGGGAAUUUUGGACAAUGGGGGCAACCCUGAUCCAGCCAUGCCGCGUGAGUGAAGAAGGCCUUCGGGUUGUAAAGCUCUUUCAGCCGGAACGAAACGGUUACGGUUAAUACCCGUGACUACUGACGGUACCGGAAGAAGAAGCACCGGCUAACUACGUGCCAGCAGCCGCGGUAAUACGUAGGGUGCGAGCGCUAAUCGGAAUUACUGGGCGUAAAGCGUGCGCAGGUGGUUUUGUAAGUCAGAUGUGAAAUCCCCGGGCUCAACCUGGGAACUGCGUUUGAAACUACAAGGCUAG